GUGACGAUUUACGACGACGUUUACGACAAACUAAAUGUGUUUGUAUAUUCAUUCUUCUGAAAACAAAUCCUGAACUUGUCUUCGAUCUGAUGCUUUAUGGUUUAAUAAUGCAGAAAUAAUAAAUAAAUUGCCGCAGAAACGCUUCAAAACAAUGUUGCCUUAAAAUGACGUCAUUGACGUCAUGACGUUACGUGUCAGUUAACGCGCAAAAUUAAUAGCUUUUAUCUUGAAAGUACGUAAUUCUGUACAAUUUCUUUAUUUUAACUAUUUUCAAAUAACCAUUAUUUGCUGAAAUAUUUUUUAUGAGUCUUUUGCUCUGAAUAAUAAUCAAUAUUUUGCUUCUUUUAUGUAGUUAUAUUGAAAUGUUAUGCGGAAUGUAAGAAAAUGGAUGAUGGCAACCAAUGUUAUUUGGAAUAUAGUUGGGUGAAAGGUUACUUGUUACGGCCAUUUUCAAAUAAAAAGUCUAGCAGUUUGAUUUGUAAUACCUAUUUUUCAGGUUCCAUUGAUAAUUUGUUACUUACAUACUAAAACUAAGAUCUAAAAUUGUUCAAAGGCGUACGUAGGAUUUAUAUAGGCAGAUGGCCCCCGAUUUUUGAAAAAUAAAAAGAUCGAUGACAGUGUUAAAAAUCGACAGUUUUCAUUAAACAAAACUUUAAACUACCGAACUAUGUCGUUUUUAAUAUUAACACAUUCUCAGUAUUGGUGUAAAAUGAGUUCAAAGUACGAACGGUACUGGCAUUUUGUGUUAAAAUUGCUGAAUUCGGCCAUUUCAGACUCAAAAUUCGCUUAUUAGCAACCCUUGCUCCGGUUAACAAUUUAUAACAGCUAUUAAAAUUGUUAAUUCCAUUUAAUAUUUUCCUAACCAGAAACCGGAGCAAGGGUUGCUAAUAAACGAAUUUUGGAAAAAACGAUAAUAUUUGUUUGGCCUUUUUCACGUAUACGAGUAGCCUCCCUUGAAGCUAGGUGCUCGUUGCCAGGCAAUAUUAUAGGUGGCGCCACUGUCAACAUGUGGAUGUGAAAACGAAAGUAGAUUAUUUAUCGUGGAAUAAUUACAAUUGUUUACCCUUCUACGUGGAAUUUAUAUGGAAAGUAGAUUAAAUGCCAUUUUGUUGUGUUAAAUAAACCAAAAGAGUAUUCAUUCGAUUCUCUUUCAAUGGAAAGCAAGCAGAAUUAUUGACACACGAGUGUCACAACGAUACAGUUAUCUGUGACAGUGACACACAAUAACUUGCAGUAGUGAUUAGAGAUAUUCAACAUUUCUGUAUUUUCGAAUGAUUAUUUUCAACACUUGAUUAUUAAAUUUGACAUCGUUAGAGCUUCGGACAUACAUAGUAACCGGACGAUGUUUAUGAAGUCCACAACAAUAAUGACAUAAUUUCAUAAAAAGUUAAAAUAAAUGGACUGGGAAGGGAUGUCUGUUAAUUUAUCACGCUUAAAACGGUGAUGUUUUGGUCAUAACUGUCCACCUUGAUAAGACUGCAAAAGAAAAAAAAAUCUACUGACAUGUAGUGUUUACAUUUUGCAUUAUUUUUCUGAUUUGUUUAUAACAGUAGAUUCAACCUGAUGAAAGGUGUGUAGACUCUACUCAUUGAAUUGCAUACAUGAUCACUAUAUGAAUAUUUCAUAUUUACUGAAUGUAAUGAAGCAGUAAUUUGACAAAUACAAGCAAGCAGAUAUUGUUCACUGAUUAUUAAAAUAUGGAAUAUUUUUUUCUGAUGUCCUUCACAAAUGAGACAAACCCUUCAGGUAUAAAAGAAUGCUUCACUGUCUGCUUCAUUGUCAACAGAAUAUGAUUGAAAUUGUAAAGGUCUUAUCAACAUUAUUAUUGUGAUGUCUUGCACUAAUCAGUAUUUGUUUUGUAUCAUAUUUCAGGUAAUGGUAUGAAUUGAGAUGAUUUAUUUAGUUACCUUCAACUGGUCAGUGGUCAACAAGAUAGUAUUACUGUGUGUCUUGAAACAUUGAAUGCCCCAAAACAACCAGUAUGAUAAGAAGGCCAGAAUAUACAGCUUCCCAAAAUGUUGAAAGACUAAGCUGUUUUUUCUAAGGACUUGUAUACUAUCUAGGUUGAAAUUAGCCAUGGACAAUGAAUUUGGAGGUGCAUGCUGGAGCAUCAGAAAUUACAGACUUGGAAUAAAUAUUUGCAUAAUAUACAAGUAACAUUAACUGAAAAAUGACUAAUGUUUAUGUUAAUAAAGUGCAAUAUCCAUGCUUGUAACAUUUGCAUGGGGGUAAUAGUUACAGUGUUGAAAGAGACUGCCAGUGUUACAUUUCAAUCUAAGUUACAGUGUGGAUGCUAAUUCUAAAUUCUUGAUAGUCAAGUGUUUUUAGUAACUUAUGGAUACUAAUUAUUUAUCAAACUGUUUAAUUUAUCACAUUCCUACAUCAUUAUUUUACAUAAAAUGUUUGUGGUUAUAUAAUAUAUGUUUAUAUGGUAAUAAAUUUUGUUUCUGUGUAAA